rnacentral:lncRNA from 1 species
GUUAGAGUUAUUGCUGCCUGAGUUAUAACAGCUGCCCUGGGAAUCUUGUCUGAACAACAAGUUAACUGCUGUUCCCAGUUAUAUCUGGUCUUUCCCACCCCCAAACAUACACAAAAGAUUUUUGUCAUUCUUGGCACUGGACAACAGAAGUGAUAAGACAUGCCAGCAGAACUCUAAAGGCAGAAUGUCCUUCCACCUGUUUUAUGCUGUAAGACAAACUUCCAAGUGCGAGGCAGUGUGGAGGGCUGUUGCCUUGAAUGGCAGCUGAAUGCACCAGCGGGAUCCUUGGCAGCAAUGCCCAGGCACUGAAGUCGGGCAUUCAGGAGAGCUAAAUGGAGAAAAGAAACUUGAGCAAACUGCUUCCUGGAACACUGAGAACCUGAAUGGGAAAUUAAGAAGAACCAGAUUCUUUCUAUUCUUCCACCAGCCAAGGUGAUGAGCACAAAAGGAUCCAUCUUAUACAGUGCUUGCCAGCUUCCAUAAUACUACUCACCACGAUGUUGAAAUCACCUGUUCCAGAACCAGUCCUGUCCUUUGACAAGAAGGAUUUAAUUAUCAGUAGUGGUGGGGACUGGCUGGAGAGAGGAAAAACACUUCAAGGACUCUGCCACCUUUCGUAGAUGGAGAGUGCAAAGUUUGUACCAUGGAACUCCUUCUCUAACAGUUACUCUGUGGCAGUGCCUAUUUCAAACCUCCCUUAACUUCUGAUUGUAUAGAUGUUUGUUUCAUUUGUUCAUCUGUUUGUUCACUUAGUCAGAGAUGUUUUAAGCCUUAAGAGAAAUAGUGGACUAGAAAAUGCCUUGGAAAAGUACAAAGUUCAAUCCAAGUAAACUGUUUUUAAACUAGGAAUUUAUGAAGCCUAAAAUAUAAAAUGUAUAUACAUGGAUAUGCUCUGAAGUGAGGUAGAGGGGUAGAAAUCAACAUUGUGAUAUUGUACUAUAGUUUUGCAAGAUGUUACCAUUGGGGGAAAAUGUUUGAAGGGUAUACGGGAUAUCUCUGCCUUAUUUCUUACAACUGCAUGUGAAUCUACAGUUAUCUCAAAAUAAAAAUUUAAUUAACAAUUGAUUACAAUUAAAAAAAAAAAAAAAAAA